GACGAACGCUGGCGGCGUGCUUAACACAUGCAAGUCGAACGGAAUGGCGAACGGGUGAGUAACACGUGGGUGGCCUGCCCUGCCCUUCUGGAUGAGCCUAGGAAACUGUGUCUAAUACCGUAUAGUGUGGGAUGGGCCCGCGGCCUAUCAGCUUGUUGGUGGGGUAAUGGCCUACCAAUGCGGCGACGGGUAGCCGGCCUGAGAGGGUGGACGGCCACAUUGCGACUGAGACACGGCCCAGAGUCCGACGUGAGGCAGCAGUGGGGAAUAUUGCACAAUGGGCGGAAGCCUGAUGCAGCGACGCCGCGGGGGGGAUGACGGCCUUCGGGUUGUAAACGCCUUGUACCAAUGACGCGGUAGAUGGAGAAGAAGCACCGGCUAACUACGUGCCAGCAGCCGCGGUAAUAC
rnacentral:rRNA from 1 species